rnacentral:rRNA from 1 species
AGAAUGAACGCUGGCGGCGUGCUUUACACAUGCAAGUUGAGCGAGGCCACCCGCAAGGGUGAGUCGAGCGGCGAACGGGUGAGUAACGCGUGGAUAACCUGCCCUGAAGUGGGGGAAUAACCCGGGGGAAACUCGGGCUAAUACCGCAUGAUACCGAGAGGUCAAAGAGGGCUCGCAAGAGCUCUUGCUACAGGAGGGGUCCGCGUUCGAUUAGCUAGUUGGUAGGGUAAUGGCCUACCAAGGCGACGAUCGAUAGCCGGCCUGAGAGGGUGAUCGGCCACACUGGAACUGAGACACGGUCCAGACUCCUACGGGAGGCAGCAGUGGGAAUUUGCGCAAUGGGCUAACGCCUGACGCAGCAACGCCGCGUGGAGGAUGAAGGUCUUUGGAUUGUAAACUCCUGUCAGUCGAAGGGAAAAAGGGAGGGGACCUAAGUACGCUCCGUGACUUGAUUGACCUGCAGAGACGCCCGAUAACUCGUGUGCCAGCAGCCG